rnacentral:rRNA from 1 species
GGAGUUAGCCGGUGCUUCUUCUGCGAGUAACGUCACAGAUGUAAGGUAUUAACUUACACCCUUUCCUCCUCGCUGAAAGUGCUUUACAACCCGAAGGCCUUCUUCACACACGCGGCAUGGCUGCAUCAGGGUUUCCCCCAUUGUGCAAUAUUCCCCACUGCUGCCUCCCGUAGGAGUCUGGGCCGUGUCUCAGUCCCAGUGUGGCUGAUCAUCCUCUCAGACCAGCUAGGGAUCGUCGCCUAGGUGAGCCUUUACCUCACCUACUAGCUAAUCCCACCUGGGCUUAUCCAUCAGCGCAAGGCCCGAAGGUCCCCUGCUUUCCCCCGUAGGGCGUAUGCGGUAUUAGCAGUCGUUUCCAACUGUUAUCCCCCACAAAUGGGCAAAUUCCCAGGCAUUACUCACCCGUCCGCCGCUCGUCAUCUUCAAAAGCAAGCUUUUGAAAUGUUACCGCUCGACUUGCAUGUGUUAGUCCUGCCGCCAGCGUUCAAUCUGAGCCAUAAUCAAACUCUGA